GUGAAAUCUGGAAAGACCUGAACUGAUGGUGGCGGGAGAGGUUGGUGGACGACCAGCUUUGGAGAGCGCUGCCCAGACAUCUGCGUGAAGAGUGUGGACCAGGAACCUGGCGUGUCCCGGGACCAUCCAGGAGGCCAGUGGGCUGGAGAUGAGAGGCUGGGAGGGUUGGCGGGGUCCCAGCACGCUGGUGGACGGCCCCGUGGGCAGCACCGAGAAGCGGGCAGUGUAGAGGGGACGUGGGUAGUGUUUUGUUUGUUUCUAAGUUGAGCGCCAUCAAGGAAUAUCGUCUGAUAACAGGAAUUAUCUAGUAGAAAACGGAGACACUGCACCAUGGGAGAAAUGUGAUAGGAGGGGUUCGAACAGAAGGGUGCGUGGUGAGGGUUGAUCUUGGAACGUCUGCUGUGAACUGGCAGAGUCAGAGGAUGUAAGGACAGGUUCAGGUAGAUUGGAGGGGUUGGCGGGUAAGAGGGACGUAAGAUAGUUUACAGACUAUUUAUUUAUUUAUGUAAGUUUAUUAUUUAUUUUGAGAGAGAGAGAGAGAGAGAGAGAGAGCGCGAGCGAGCAGGACAGGGGCGGAGAGAGAGGGAGAGAAAUCCCAAGCCAGCUUUGUGCAGUCAGCACAGAGCCUGAAGCAGGGCUUAACCUCACGAAUCAUGAGAUCGUGACCUGAACCGAAGUCAAGAGUUGCUGAACCGGCUGAGCCACCGAGGCGCCCCAACGGACUGUUUAUAUUUGAGGAAGUGGGUCACCUGGACGUUUGGAAGAGAGCGGAGGGCACGGACUGGCUGUCGGUGACACGGGGAAGUGAGUUUCCUGGGGAGCCGAGCAGCACAGUUCAUUUGGGACUGGUGGCCACGCACUUGACGUGAGUCUUGUUAGCAGAUCGAGGGCGUUUUCUCCAGCAACUUCCAGCCGCUCGGAGGCAGGUGCAGCACCAGCAGGUGGUUGGGUGUGACCAGAGUUAGGGAUUUUCCAGGUAAGCGAAGUUUGCAUUCAUUGAUCCCGCGAGGAGAGCAAGGGAGGUAAAAGGCUCUUAGUAACAGUUGUAGCAAAAUCUCAGAUCAAAGCUGGGGAGGGAGGGACCAGGGACACAGGUGACGAGUGCAGUGUGCACACGGCCGGC
rnacentral:lncRNA from 1 species